UACGGGGGGUGCAAGCGUUAAUCGGAAUCACUGGGCGUAAAGGGUGCGUAGGCGGUACGUUAGGUCUGUCGUGAAAUCCCCGGGCUCAACCUGGGAAUGGCGGUGGAAACCGGUGUACUAGAGUCUGUCAGAGGGGGGUAGAAUUCCACGUGUAGCAGUGAAAUGCGUAGAGAUGUGGAGGAAUACCAAUGGCGAAGGCGGCCACCUGGCCCAAUACUGACGCUGAGGCACGAAAGCGUGGGGAGCAAACAGG
rnacentral:rRNA from 1 species